GAUGAACGCUGGCGGCAUGCUUUACACAUGCAAGUCGAACGGUAACAGGUUAAGCUGACGAGUGGCGAACGGGUGAGUAAUGCAUCGGAACGUGCCCGGUCGUGGGGGAUAACGCAGCGAAAGCUGCGCUAAUACCGCAUACGAUCUAAGGAUGAAAGCGGGGGACCGUAAGGCCUCGCGCGAUCGGAGCGGCCGAUGUCAGAUUAGGUAGUUGGUGGGGUAAAGGCUCACCAAGCCAACGAUCUGUAGCUGGUCUGAGAGGACGACCAGCCACACUGGGACUGAGACACGGCCCAGACUCCUACGGGAGGCAGCAGUGGGGAAUUUUGGACAAUGGGCGAAAGCCUGAUCCAGCAAUGCCGCGUGCAGGAAGAAGGCCUUCGGGUUGUAAACUGCUUUUGUACGGAGCGAAAAGGUCUCCUCUAAUACAGGGGGCUCAUGACGGUACCGUAAGAAUAAGCACCGGCUAACUACGUGCCAGCAGCCGCCGCCG
rnacentral:rRNA from 1 species